UACGGAGGAUGCAAGCGUUAUCCGGAUUUAUUGGGUUUAAAGGGUGCGUAGGCGGAUAUGUAAGUCAGCGGUGAAACUCACAGGCUCAACCUGUGCCGUGCCGUUGAUACUGCAUGGCUAGGAUUUGGUUGCUGUGGGUGAAAUGUGUGGUGUAGCGGUGAAAUGCUUAGAUAUCACACAGAAUAUCAAUUGCGAAGGCAGCUCACAAAGCCAAGAUUGACGCUGAGGCACGAAAGUGUGGGGA
rnacentral:rRNA from 1 species